UUAUAUGAGAAUAUGAGAAUGAUUUAUGACCAUUAGAUUUUAAUGAAGGAGUUGGAUUAAGAAACUAUGGUAAGUCAAUCACGUGACUCUCUUUUCUCACAAAUCAGCUUCUCUCACACUCUCUCUCUUCCUUCCUUCAUCAAAUUUCUCUCGAUCUCUCUUUCUCAACUCAAAAUCACGUUCAACAAUUUCUCUCUUUCUCUUCUCAACUCAACAAUUUCUAAACCUAUAAACCUUGAUCCUUUAAUAUCAUCAUCAUUUUUCAAAUGUCUUCUUCUUCCGUAGAAUCAGUUCGUGAACUUCUCAACAAACCAUGGAAAAUUGUUCCCUUUCCCACCAUCAAAUCCAACGAUCUCUUCUCUCUCUUCCUCAAAGUGUUUUUCUGCUUCUCUUCUUUUUGAUUUAUUCUUGUUUUGUAUCCUUCUUGGACUUUGAUUUUCAGUAUAAAUUGGGUUUUUUAAAUCUUUGUGUCCCUUAUACUUUGAUUUUCUGGUACUGGUGUAGCAGGAGCUUAAGUGCAAAUGAACUAGGUACUGCUGCUGAUUUUCGGAUGCCUGAGUUAUUUUCUAGACCAGUUAGCUGAAAUUGGCAAAUGAACUAGGCACCGCUGUCGAAGACCAGUUAAAUGAAAUUGGUACUAGUGUCGAAGACUAGCGUGAAAUUCUGUCAAAGACUAACUGAAAUUGAUGCUUAGUUUAAUGUAGUUGCGAUUUGUGACAAAGCUCACUAGUGCUUAGUUUGUAUUCACUAUGCUUACACAUUGUAGAUGAAAGAACUUGGCACCGCCUUGAUUAUGUUGUAGAUUGUAAAUGGGGGUUAGCUCUAUUUGUAGAGUGAUUCACAUUGUAAAUGGGUAAAUGGGGGUUAGCUCUAUUUGUAGAGUGAUUCACAUUGUAAAUGAGAGUUAGCUCUAUCUUUGUACAAAUUGUAAUUAUCAUCUUAUAUUAAAUGAAGAAGUUUGAUUGAAUUGUCUCAAUA